rnacentral:rRNA from 1 species
CGGCAGGCCUAACACAUGCAAGUCGAGCGCGCCCUUCGGGGUGAGCGGCGGACGGGUUAGUAACGCGUGGGAACGUACCCAGAUCUACGGAAUAGCCUCGGGAAACUGAGAGUAAUACCGUAUACGCCCUUCGGGGGAAAGAUUUAUCGGAUUUGGAUCGGCCCGCGUUAGAUUAGAUAGUUGGUGGGGUAACGGCCUACCAAGUCUACGAUCUAUAGCUGGUUUUAGAGGAUGAUCAGCAACACUGGGACUGAGACACGGCCCAGACUCCUACGGGAGGCAGCAGUGGGGAAUCUUGGACAAUGGGCGCAAGCCUGAUCCAGCCAUGCCGCGUGAGUGAUGAAGGCCUUAGGGUCGUAAAGCUCUUUCGCCUGUGAUGAUAAUGACAGUAGCAGGUAAAGAAACCCCGGCUAACUCCGUGCCAGCAGCCGCGGUAAUACGGAGGGGGUUAGCGUUGUUCGGAAUUACUGGGCGUAAAGCGCACGUAGGCGGAUUAGUCAGUCAGAGGUGAAAUCCCAGGGCUCAACCCUGGAGCUGCCUUUGAUACUGCUAGUCUUGAGUUCGAGAGAGGUGAGUG